UACAGAGACUGCAAGCGUUAUUCGGAUUCACUGGGCGUAAAGGGUGCGCAGGCGGCCCUUUAAGUCUACCCGUGAAAUGCCGGAGCUCAACUCCGCGCACGCCGGGGGAUACUGGGGGGCUGGAGACAUGUAGAGGCAAGCGGAAUUCCGGGUGUAGCGGUGGAAUGCGUAGAGAUCCGGAAGAACACCUGAGGCGAAGGCGGCUUGCUGGGCAUGAUCUGACGCUGAGGCGCGAAAGCGUGGGGAGCAAACAGG
rnacentral:rRNA from 1 species